AGUGAACGCUGGCGGUAGGCCUAACACAUGCAAGUCGAACGGCAGCACAGUAAGAGCUUGCUCUUACGGGUGGCGAGUGGCGGACGGGUGAGGAAUACAUCGGAAUCUACUUUUUCGUGGGGGAUAACGUAGGGAAACUUACGCUAAUACCGCAUACGACCUACGGGUGAAAGCAGGGGAUCUUCGGACCUUGCGCGAUUGAAUGAGCCGAUGUCGGAGUAGCUAGUUGGCGGGGUAAAGGCCCACCAAGGCGGCGAUCCGUAGCUGGUCUGAGAGGAUGAUCAGCCACACUGGAACUGAGACACGGUCCAGACUCCUACGGGAGGCAGCAGUGGGGAAUAUUGGACAAUGGGCGCAAGCCUGAUCCAGCCAUACCGCGUGGGUGAAGAAGGCCUUCGGGUUGUAAAGCCCUUUUGUUGGGAAAGAAAAGCAGCAGGUUAAUACCCCGCUGUUCUGACGGUACCCAAAGAAUAAGCACCGGCUAACUUCGUG
rnacentral:rRNA from 1 species